AUACGUAGGGGGCGAGCGUUGUCCGGAAUGAUUGGGCGUAAAGGGCGCGUAGGCGGCCCGGUAAGUCUGGAGUGAAAGUCCUGUUUUUAAGAUGGGAAUUGCUUUGGAUACUGUCGGGCUUGAGUGCGGGAGAGGUAAGUGGAAUUCCCAGUGUAGCGGUGAGAUGCGUAGAGAUUGGGAGGAACACCAGUGGCGAAGGCGACUUACUGGACUGUAACUGACGCUGAGGCGCGAAAGUGUGGGGAGCAAACAGGAUUAGAUACCCUGGUAGUCCACACUGUAAACAAUGAAUGCUAGGUGUAAGAGGUAUCGACCCCUUUUGUGCCGGAGUCAACACAAUAAGCAUUCCGCCUGGGGAGUACGGCCGCAAGGUUGAAACUCAAAUGAAUUGGCGGGG
rnacentral:rRNA from 1 species